rnacentral:rRNA from 1 species
AGAGUUUGAUCAUGGCUCAGGAUGAACGCUGGAGGCGUGGCUAAGGCAUGCAAGUCGAACGAGAUCAUUGUUGUAGCAAUACUUCGAUGGUUAAGUGGCAAACGGGAGCGUAACACAUUGGUAAUCUACCUUUUUCUCACGAACAACUCAUGGAAACGUGAGCUAAUACGUGAUACGGAUGAGGGGCCGCAGGGCAUUCUCAUUGAAAGAUUUAUCGGAAAAAGAGGAACCUAUGGUCCAUCAGCUAGUUGGCGGGGUAACGGCCCACCAAGGCUAUGACGGAUACCAGGCGCGAGAGCGUGACCUGGCUCAAUGGGACUGAGACACUGCCCAUACACCUACGGGUGGCUGCAGUCGCGAAUAUUCCACAAUGGACGAAAGUCUGAUGGAGCGACGCCUCGUGUCGGAAGAAGGCCCUCGGGUCGUAAACGACUUUUAUGAGGGAAGAAUCAUGACGGUACCUCAUGAAUAAGUGGUUGCUAACUCUGUGCCAGCAGCAGCGGUAAUACAGAGACCACAAGCGUUAUCCGGAUUUAUUGGGCGUAAAGAGUUCGUAGGCGGUUUUGUAAGUUAUUCGUUAAAUCCUCAGGCUUAACCUGGGGGCUGCGGGUAAUACUGCAAGGCUAGAGUAUGGGAGAGGCAAGCGGAAUGCCCGGUGUAGCGGUAAAAUGCGUUAAUAUCGGGUAGAACACCAAAGGCGAAGGCAGCUUGCUGGAACAUUACUGACGCUCAAGAACGAAAGCGUGGGGAGCGAAAGGGAUUAGAUACCCCUGUAGUCCACGCCGUAAACUAU